AUUGAACGCUGGCGGCAGGCUUAACACAUGCAAGUCGAGCGGGGAAAGGUAGCUUGCUACCUGACCUAGCGGCGGACGGGUGAGUAAUGCUUAGGAAUCUGCCUAUUAGUGGGGGACAACAUUCCGAAAGGAAUGCUAAUACCGCAUACGCCCUACGGGGGAAAGCAGGGGAUCUUCGGACCUCGCGCUAAUAUAUGAGCCUAAGUCAGAUUAGAUAGUUGGUGGGGUAAAGGCCUACCAAGGCGACGAUCUGUAGCGGGUCUGAGAGGAUGAUCCGCCACACUGGGACUGAGACACGGCCCAGACUCCUACGGGAGGCAGCAGUGGGGAAUAUUGGACAAUGGGCGAAAGCCUGAUCCAGCCAUGCCGCGUGUGUGAAGAAGGCCUUUUGGUUGUAAAGCACUUUAAGCGAGGAGGAGGCUACUUGGAUUAAUACUCUAGGAUAGUGGACGUUACUCGCAGAAUAAGCACCGGCUAACUCUGUGCCAGCCGCCGCUUAACAC
rnacentral:rRNA from 1 species